rnacentral:rRNA from 1 species
UACGUAGGGUGCAAGCGUUAAUCGGAAUUACUGGGCGUAAAGCGUGCGCAGGCGGCUUUGCAAGACAGAUGUGAAAUCCCCGGGCUCAACCUGGGAACUGCAUUUGUGACUGCAAAGCUAGAGUACGGCAGAGGGGGAUGGAAUUCCGCGUGUAGCAGUGAAAUGCGUAGAUAUGCGGAGGAACACCGAUGGCGAAGGCAAUCCCCUGGGCCUGUACUGACGCUCAUGCACGAAAGCGUGGGGAGCGAACCGG